AGGUGUCCGCUGCGAAAUGGGAUGCCCGGUGCCUAUGCCAUGGCCUCCCCCCCGCCCAUCUUUGUGAUGGGUGCCAUGGCAUAGGCACCACCCCCUCGGCGGGUUCGGUUGUCGGUUUGGCGAUCUCCGAUCGUCGGCCCGAUCGUCGAACCCGUCGACGAUGGUCAGGUGGGUUAGUAGCGCUGUGUUGAAAUUUUUCGAGGGGAGAGGGACGGUUCAUCUUGGAUUUUGGCUUUUCCAACGUAUUCGAAGGGCAUGCGUGAGCACGGCUUCGGUUGUGGGAUCGUGGAAACGGAAAAUAUUGCGGUCGGGUCAGCUUUUGAGAUUUUUAACCCCUCGAAGGAGUGCAACACCGUCUCUACUCUCUCAACUGGCCAUCAAACGCGAUUGUUCAUUAUGCUCCAUCGAUCGAAACAUCCCAAACCGAUGUUGAGAGCUAGCAGCAUGCAUCGGUUCGUGCUAGUUUGAUGACGAUUCUUCGGGAUUGUGGAUGUCGGUUGGGUGUUGUGGACUAUCGUUGGUUUUUUAAAAUUUGUCCCGUCGGAAAUUUUUGUCCCUGUGCCUUGGUCAGGUGGGUUAGUAGGUUCCGUGUUGAAUUUUUUCGAGGGGAGACGGACGGUUUAUCUCGGAUUUUGACUCUUCCAACGUAUUCGAAGGGCAAGCGUGAGCACGGCUUCGGUUGUGGGAKCGUGGAAACGGAAAAUACUGCGGUCGGGUCAAGUUCUGAGAUUUUUAACCUCUCGAAGGAGCGCAACACCGUCUCUACUUUCUCACCCGGCUAUCAAACGCGAUUAUUCAUUAUGCUCCAUCGAUCGAAACAUCCUACCAAAAGUCUACAGAGAACUAGCAGCAUGCAUCGGUUCGUGCUAGUUUGAUGACGAUUCUUCAGGAUUGUGGAUGUCGGUUGGGUGUAGUGGACUAUCGUUGGUUUUUUUAAAAUUUGUCCUCAAACGCGAUUAUUCAUUAUGCUCCAUCGAUCGAAACAUCCUACAAAAAGUCUACAGAGAACUAGCAUGCUUAGGCUUGUGCUAACUUGAUGCAUCCUACGGUUUGUUGCGGUGUGUUGGGCAUAGUGGAGAAUCGUUGGUUUUUGAGAAUUCGGUCCCCGUCCCUCGGAUUGUGCGUUUCUUCACGUGAAGCGGUGCUGGUGUGGUCUUGCUUGAUGUUUCCGUAUGCUCGUCGGUUCUAGUAAUCGUUGGGUUGCGGUUCGUUUGGUUAGGUCAUCAUCAAGUGUACGCAACUCAUGUGUGAGUGGUGGUCGGAUGGCAUGGGUCUACAAGCUCCUUGCUCAGUGCAGCGAAUUGUAAGCUCUCCAUCCUUUUCAUAGUCUCCCCCAAGCAUAGUCAUUUGCCUUGUGGGUAUGAUCGGUAUCCUGUGCUUUUUACCAAUUGAAUGGAAUUCGAUUGUUUUCGUUUCUUUAUUCGCUCGGUUCCCUUAGGGGUGUUGGGUGGACGAUAGGCUGACCUCGUGUUCCAGGUACAUCUCAUGUUUUUGUGUGGUUACCACGGCCCACGGGGUUAUGCUUGUUCUCUCGGAUGCGGAUCGUUAGUUGUGGGCGAGGGGUUACGACCUCCAUUCGUCCAAGCUAUUAUGCAUUUGUCAAUGGACACGGACGACUGCCGCACUCGUCUUGGCUUUUACAGUCGAACGGCUGUACAAUGUCCAUGCGAGUGUCGGUGUCGUGAAGGAAUGC
rnacentral:misc_RNA from 1 species